rnacentral:rRNA from 1 species
GUCUUAUUGAUUAUAAUUUUAGGUCUAAUCUGCCCAGUGAUUUAUUAAAUGGCUGCAGUAUUUUAACUGUACAAAGGUAGCAUAAUAAUUAGUUUCUUAAUUAGGAACUGGAAUGAAAGAUUGAACGAGACAAUAACUGUCUUAAUUUGAAUUUAAGAAUUUUAUUUUUAAGUUAAAAAGCUUAAAUUCUUUUAAAAGACGAGAAGACCCUAUAGAAUUUUAUAUUAUUAUUAUAUUUAGAUUUUAGUAUAUAAAUUUUAAAUUUUUUUAAAGAUAUUUAGUUGGGGUGAUUGGAAAAUUUAUUUAACUUUUUUUAUUUUAAAUCAUUUAUUUAUGUUUUUUUGAUCCAAUUUUUUUGAUUAUAAGAUUAAAUUACCUUAGGGAUAACAGCGUAAUUUUUUUAGAGAGUCCUUAUCGAUAAAAGAGAUUGCGACCUCGAUGUUGGAUUAAAGUUAAUUUUUAAUGUAGAAGUUAAAAUAUUAGGUCUGUUCGACCUUUAAAACUUUACAUGAUCUGAGUUUAAAUCGGCGUGAGCCAGGUUGGAUUCUAUCUUUAAUAAGUUUUAAUAUUUUAGUACGAAAGGACCAAAUAUAAUUUAUAGUAAAUUUUAUAGAAUAAUAUUAUUAUUUUGGCAGAUUAGUGCUUUAAAUUUAGAAUUUAAAUAUGUGAUAUUUUACAAAUAAUAAUGUUUAUAUUGGACAUUUUGUUGUUUUUUAUUAGAUCUUUACUUAUAAUUAUUUGUAUUUUAGUGGGGGUGGCUUUUUUAACAUUAUUAGAACGGAAGGUUCU